rnacentral:lncRNA from 1 species
GGCGGGACGGCCGCGGGCUCUGCGCCCGCCCUCGGCGCGGACCCUGGGCCCCGACCCCGCGGUCGCCGGGGCUCCCCUUCCUCUGUCCCAGUGCGCCCAGCCCCGCGCUCCGCACCCGGGCACCCCCGCGGGGUUCUCCUGAGUUCCUGGAGCUCCCGGGGCUGGCGCUCACGCCGUGAGAGGGGUGCGCCCUUAGGGGGGCGGGACGGACGGGGGGUUUCUACGGGAGGUAGGAAACGGGCGGCUUGCAAGGCGCGGGCUUAGGCCGGAGCCUGGUGGUGCGAGGUCCCCAGCUCGGAUUUCUCCCUGGUGGAGAGUCCCGGAGCAGAACAAACCAGCAGAGGCUCUGGAAAGGGUCCUCCUGAGCACGUGGCUCAUUCAUUCAUUCGACAAACGUUACCUGAGCGCCUGCCCACUCAUUGCCCGAGUGUGCUGGGAGCGCCGCACCAACUGCCUGGUAGGUGGGAGAAGGGACACGUCAGGUAACAAACAGCACAGAAAAGAGAGGUUAAAACCAAGACAUGGACAAAGCCUCCGAAUGAAGGCAGCCCUUUAAAUGGAAUAAAUUUGGUUUCAUGGCACAUUAAUGGGGUGUCUUCUCUCCGAAGACACAGAGACAACUACAGUAGGUCUGGGGGCCGUCAGGGAUUGGAGGAACGAAGGUAAGAAAAGGAAGAAGUCAAAGUGGAGGAAGGAGGAGCUUGAGAUUGAAAAAUCAGUUUGAGAAGCAGCCACCUUGACUGGCUUCACUCUAAUAGCCUGGACGCUGCCUCCACACUCCAGGUGCACUGCUCAGCAUUCUCCAAGAAGAUCAUUAAGGCAGACCCUACGUGUUAAAUUUCAAUCAGUUUCAUUGAGCAAAUAUGCUGUUAAAUAGAGACUGCUGUGUGCUGCGUCAGUGUGCCUUAUGGGCAAAUGUGAUGGUGACUAUAAAUGCAGACCAAGCAGUCCUUCCCACACUGUGUACACAAAGAAAGGAGCUCUGGAACUGGGAGCCAGGACAUCUGCAGGAGGAGAAUUCUGAAGUGAAAGGAGGCCUGGAUAUUGGUUGCAAGGCCUUGUCCCUGGAGCCUGGAUGCUCUCAUACCUUCUACAUCUGGGCCUCUGGGUCCAGGACAGUGCCAGGGAGAGUUCAUAGAAACAAAUGUGUUGAAGACCUUAGCGGUUGUCUGACUCUGAGACAGUUACCUGGCCACUCUUAAGUUUCCUCAUUUUUUUUUUAAUUUUACUUUAAGUUGCGGGAUACAUGUGCAGAACGUGCAGGUUUGUUACAUAGGUAUGCAUGUGCCAUGGUGGUUUGCUGCACCUGUCAACCUUUCAUCUAGGUUUUAAGCCCCUCAUGCAUUAGAUAUUUGUCCUAAUGCUCUCCUUCCCCUUGGCCCCCUGUCAGGUCCUGGUGUGUGUGUUGUCUGGCCCCCACCGUGUCCAUGUGUUCCUAUUGUUCAUCUCCCAUUUAUGAGUGAGAAUAUGUGGUGUUUGGCUUUCUCUUCCUGUGUUAGUUUGCUGAGGAUGAUGGUUUCCAGCUUCAUCCAUGUCCCUGCAGAGGACAUGAUCUCAUCCUUUUCAUGGCUGCAUAGUAUUCCGUGUUGUGUAUAUACCACAUUUUCUUUAUCCAGUCUUUCAUUGGUGGACAUUUGGGUUGGUUUCAUGUCUUUGCUAUUGUAAAUAGUGCUGCAAUAAACAUUAUGUGUGCAUGUGUCUUUAUAGUAAAAUGAUUUCUAUUCCUU